rnacentral:rRNA from 1 species
AGAGUUUGAUCCUAGCUCAGGAUGAACGCUGGCGGCGUGGAUAAGGCAUGCAAGUCGAACGAACCUUGCUGUACUGAUCGAUACAGUAACGUGGAGUAGCAAUACAAAACGAAGCGAUAUUUUGAAGUAUGGCGCUGGUGAGUGGCAAACGAGGUAGUAACACGUAGGUAUAUACCCCCGAGUCGCGAACAACGUACCGAAAGGUACGCUAAUACGCGAUGGUCCUUCCGAGGUAAAGAUUUAUCGCUCGGGGAAUAGCCUGCGGGAUAUCAGCUAGUUGGUAGUGUAAUGGACUACCAAGGCUAUGACGUCUAGGGGCGCUGAGAGGCGGACCCCCACCGAUGGGACUGAGACACGGCCCAUACACCUACGGGUGGCUGCAGUCGAGAAUCUUCCACAAUGGACGAAAGUCUGAUGGAGCGACGCCGCGUGAUUGAUGAAGUGCUUCGGCACGUAAAGAUCUUUUAUGAGGGAAGAAGUUUAUUGACGGUACCUCAUGAAUAAGGGGCUCCUAACUCUGUGCCAGCAGGAGCGGUAAUACAGAGGCCCCGAGCGUUAUCCGGAAUUAUUGGGCGUAAAGGGUGUGUAGGUGGCGUUGUUAGUCGUUUGUGAAAGAUCCGGGCUCAACCUGGAAAACGCGAACGAAACGGCAAUGCUUGAGUAUAUGAGAGGUACGCAGAACUCAUGGUGUAGGGGUGAAAUCCGUUGAUAUCAUGGGGAAUACCAAAAGCGAAGGCAGCGUACUGGCAUAUUACUGACACUGAAACACGAAAGCGUGGGUAGCGAAUGGGAUUAGAUACCCCAGUAGUCCACGCCCUAAACGAUCUUCACUAGCUUUACGGAGUAUCGACCCUCUGUGAGGCGAAGCUAACGCGUUAAGUGAAGCGCCUGGGAAGUACGGCCGCAAGGCUAAAACUCAAAGGAAUAGACGGGGACUCGCACAAGCGGUGGAUUAUGUGGUUUAAUUCGUAGGUAAACGAAGAACCUUACCCAGAUUAGAAAUCCUGACGAAAGCUCUAUGAAAGUAGAGCCCUCGCAAGACGGCAGGACAGGUGAUGCAUGGCCGUCGUCAGCUCGUGGUUUGAACUGUUCCCUUAAGUGGGCUAACGAGCGCAACCCUCGUCGUGUGUUAUACGUGUCACGCGAGACCGCCCAGCCCAAAGGCUAUAUCGAUUGAGUGUUCUGUGGAAGAACGAAGUGUUUACAUUUUGUUCUUCCACAGAACACUUGAUACUCGGUUCCUCUGUGGAGAAACAAAGAUUUAUCUCUGUUUCUCCACAGAGGAACUGAAUGAUGUAGUUUUCGGG